rnacentral:miRNA from 1 species
UUGGACUGUGGCUACAUAUAG